rfam:Otolemur garnettii contig094631, whole genome shotgun sequence.
UUGCUUCAACAGCAUAUAAACAAAAAUUGGAAUUAUGCAGAGAAGAUUAGCAUGUUCUGUGUACAAGGAUGACAUGCAAAUUUGUGAAAUGUUCUAUUAAAAA